GAACUAGCUACGGCAGUACAUAUCCUAAAAAUUGGAAUAAUACAGAGAUUAGCAUGGCCCCUGCGCAAGGAUGACACGCAAAUUCGUGAAGCAUUCCAUAUUUUU
rnacentral:snRNA from 1 species